UAAUGUCAAGGUGUAAAGUCAAAGGGAAAGCAGCAUGGCACAACAAGGGGACAGGUUGGCAUAUAAAACUGCAGAUAGCCCCUCAGAUUCCCUUGUUCCCUGGUAUGGCACAGGAGAGCACAAGGAAGUUUUUCACAUCCCUUCAUAGGGCUGUGAUGUAGGUUUGCUGAGGUCCACAGAUGAGAAGUGGACCUGGGAUUGUACAAAGGGAAUUAGUUUUCUCCCGUCUGACUUCUAUGCAAGGAAAUAAUCUCAAGAUAAGUUUUUGGUAUAGACUUUUAUAUAUACUGAUGAUCCUACCUCAUGGCAGUUUAAAUAUUGUUAGUGAAACUUUGCUAUCUAUGAAAAUGUAGCCAUAACUCACUAAAAUAUAUUUUUAAAUACAAUAUUUGUUUACUCAGAUUUAAUUUUGCCAUAUGUAUAUCUGAUUACUUGAAAAAUAAGACAACUGGCUAUAUUAGUUUCAUCAGCUACAUAAAAUGAAGAAGCAUGGCAUAUUUCAUUACCCAGAAGAAAGGUGACCAACAUUUGGAUUUGCCUGGGACUUCCUCCGUUUUAAAACUGAAAGUCCAGAAGAGCUGGAGACCCUCAGUCCCUGUAACCAGUAUGCCAUGUAGAAAUCACAAGCUUUCUAGCAUUAAAAGCAUGUAAACAAAGAUGUUAGUCAUUAUGAAGACAGAUGAGUCACCCCCAGUCUCCUGGUUUUAGCUUUAGAAUAUAACAGUAUUAUUUCUUAAGCUCUAAGUCAGACCUGUGGAGGACUUCUUGACCCAGGUCAUUGAAUUGUGGAUUUGAAGAUUUUCUUAAUUUUUUUCUAAGUGAAAUACCAAACCUCUGUGAGACACCAAGAGCUAGGAUAGAAAGAGCAUCUGCAGUAGCAUUGCUGAUCACGCAGGUGUAAUAUAGGAGCAGGUACUCUUGGCUCCUUUGUGUCAAUGUGGAGGGCAGAGGACAGGAUAAGUUAACUCUCUGACAGCUUCCUUCACCUUGGCAGCAGCCAGGAUCCAGUAUUUGGAACUCUCGUGUCAGCUCUUAUUAAUUCCCCCAGCAGUCUUUGGCAUAGUCAAUCACCAUUUCAAGCUCUCAGUCUGUCAACUCUGGAUAAUUCUUAGCUAUUGCAAUGCUGUUAGGGGAAUUGAUUAAUACUUAUUAGCACAUUUUAAUGGGAAAAUGCAAUAUAAAUAUUGUUGCAUGAACUGAAAAAUAGUUUCCUGCAUAAUAUGUACAAGGAAAAUAAGUCAUGGACUAUAGCGGCUUCUUGGGAGAGUUUUAAGUGGUGAUCACUUAUCUGCUGCUUCCCUAUUCAUCUUUAAUAACUUUAGUGCUUUUGUUAUUUAAUGUUCUCAGCAAUAAUUUCUGCUAAAUUAAUUUUAUUAUUGUUGUUACAUAUUGAUGUAUUUUGUUUCUUGUUAAGUUCAAUACAUUUCUUUGUUUCCAGUUAGAAUUUGUAAAUCACUGACUAUGAUUUUCCUCCAUUAAAACUUGUCUGAUAUAUUAGGAAGAUUUUUCAUUACUUAAGAAUAAUUGCUGAAACUCAUCGCUUAAGAAAAUAAAUAUUUCUCUAGUCAAGUUCAUUGCACAUCAAAUUUCUGUUACAUGAAUUUGUGCUUCAUUCUUGAAUUUGUAAGUAUAAAAUUAGAAGUAUAUUUGACUGGAAGUAAGUGGGAUCUGGAGUAUAAUAAAAUUAUACUUAAGUAUUUGGUUAAGUUUAUGAAUCAUAUAAAACACAAGUAAUAAAUACCUUUCUCAUAAAAAUGUAAUAUAUUAGUACAAACCUUCAAAAGAUUUAUAAUGAUCUUUUUUGACAAAUGGUAAAAAAUAAAUACACUAAAUGUUGAAGGAUAGUCCAGUUCAGAAUUUUAUUUAAAAAAUUCUUCUUCAUAUACCAUUAUAGCAGGGAGGCAGUAGUCAUUUUAACCAUUUAAUAUUUAACAGUUUAACUUCUGUAUCAUGUCUAAGCUCAAGAUGAUCACUGCAAAUGUUUCUCACAAGUCUUAUAUUUCCAUCCUAUAUAACUCUUUCCAGCCACAACUGCUAUUUUAGUUUAGACACUGACAAGGUCUAGCACAUUGCCUGCCGCCACCAAAUGUUAUGCCAUAUAAAGCUGAUAGCCAUUUCAGACUGAGUGUCUUGGGGCAUCUUAGUAGAAUCAGCACUGAUUCUGGGACUGGUUCUCAAUAAUGCAUGUUUAGCAACUUUGUAAAUAUCAGAUUACCCAGAAAUUAUCAAAUUUAUAAAAUAUAUUUUAGUUAAUCAAAUUUACAGGUGUAUUAGUUUGUCCUUACACUGCCGUAAAGAAAUACCCGAGACUGGGUAAUUUAUAAAAGAAAGAGUUUUAAUGGACUCACAGUUCCACAUGGCUGGGGAGGUCUCAGGAAACUUACAAUCAUGGCCGAAGGCAAAGGGGAAGCAAAGACGUUUUUUACACAUCGGUAGGAAAGAGAGAAGUAGCAAAAGCAGGGGAAACUGCUUUAUAAAACAAUCAGAUCUUGUGAGAACUCAUUCACUAUUACAAGAACAGCAUGGGGGAAACUGUCCUCAUGAUCCAAUCAAUUCCCACCGGGUCCUUACCUCAGAACAUGGGGAUAAUGGGGAUUACAAUUCAAGAUGAGAUUUGGGUCGGGACUCAGCUGAACCAUAUCACAGGGGAAUGAUUUAUCAAACAGAGUGUCAAAUUAUUCAUUCCUAAAAAUAAGUAUACUUGGCAGAGCUGGUAAGACACAUUCAGAAGAAAUAUAGAAUAUAGAAAUAUAGAAAUUGGGUGUAUCAAGCAGAUGAUCAGCUCACCCUAAUAUAUCAGUGUGACUCUUUCUCCUUCUUACCAAAAUUCUGAAAUACUAACUAGUAAUUAAAAUCAGAGUACAGUGUAGAUAUAUUGAUAUGUUCUUCUGGUGCCACUCUUCUCUUUCAAUAUUUUAAAUGCCACACAUACACAUAAAACUUUUUUAUAAUUACAUGACAAACUUCCUCAUGGCAAACAUAUUAUAUUUUCUAGCAUCCAUUUCAAAGGGAUAUUUUCUUUUCCAGAGCCACCCCAAGCCUUUUGCUAAUAUUACCAGCAGUUUACUUACUAUUUGCUUAGAUAUUUUUCUUCCCUCUUAUACUUUCCACAGACAUCUCACCUUAUCUAGGUUAUCAGUUAGUAUGGGUUAGGUUAAACUCCUGCAAGAACAACCCUUAACUCUCUGAGGUCUAAAAUAACAAAGGUUAUUUUUCAAUUAGGUUAUAUGUACCUAUCAGGUCAGUGGAAGCUCUUUUCCAUGUUUUGCUUAGCCAACAAUGCAGGCUAAUAGAUUACCCCUCAUCUGGAACAUUGUCAUCACCAAAGGGGAAGGAAACAUGUAAUUGCACACUUCCUCUGAAAGGCAUCGUGUGUGUGUGUGUGUGUGUGUGUGUGUGUGUGUGUGUGUGUGUGUUUGUUUAACCCAGAAGUGAUGUAAUCAGUUCUAACAACAUUUCAUCAGUCAAAGCAAAUCAUAUGUCUUUGCUUAUCUUUAAAGGGAUAGGAAAGUACAAUUCUGCCAUAUUUUAGAAGAGGAGAACUGGAAAUAUCUUUGAAUAGCAACAGUGAAUACUAUGUCUAGUCAUUUUGAUUAAUAUUUUUAUUUUUAAAGAGUGACAUUUUUUACCUCAUUCUCAAAUUCAGGACUCAAUCACUCAACAUAUAUUCAUUUAAGCCUCAAUUUUUUCAGUGUUCUUUCCCAAGCACUGUGGGUGAUACAAAGAUGAAACGAGUACAGAUCUAAAGACUCUUGUGUAUAAAAGAGUGCAAUAGCCCUCCUUGAUACUUCUGCUUCAUAGCUCUUAGUGAGAUGGUUAUUAAUUAUUUCUAUAAUUAUUUGUCUAAUGCUAUCUAAUGCUCUACUAGUUUUACAAAUUCUAUUUAGGAUACAGGCUGUAUUUCAUUUCGUGACUACAUCCUUAACAACAAAUACCCUGCCUGAUACCUAGCAGGGGAUGUUCAACAAUUAUGUGUUGAAUAAAUUAUAAAAGAAGAAAACUAUUAUGGUAGUCACAGAGGGAGACACUGUUUCCAACAAAUUUAUGCCUUCUUUAGAUUUGUACCUCCUUUUGCACUGACAAUAUUUAUGUGGUCACAUUUCUGUUUGCAAUGAGAGAGACUCUCCUUGCAUGGGAGAGACUAUGUUUAUUUUAUUUGAUUUUAUAUCCCCAAGCACUAGCCGAGUGCCUGACACAUAGUAGGAGCCCAAUAAACAUUUGUUGAAUCAGUGAAGCAAAGGAGGUAAGCCUCAAGAACUAUUGAAAUAAAUAAUUUUUAAUAGGCAGGCACACCAGAGUGAGCUUUCUUUAAUUGUCUGUUAAUAACAUGUCGUUUAAUGUUUUAAAGCACUGACAGGUUAGCUGAUAAGUGUUUUUGUCGUCAAACAAAUCUGACUGCAUCUGAUACAAACUGUGCAAUGAAGUUUCAGCAGAUGACCUCCAGUGGCUGAAGAUGGCACAUUUGCUGGAGGCCACAGUGUAGAAAAAUGAGGUUUUUCACAUUCUGUAAAUGUAGGGCUAGGUUUGUUGAGUGGAUUUGUAAUUCAAUGAAUAUAUUUUCUUUCAAAGUUUGAUGUUCUGAAAUUUCAAUUGACUGUGAAGGUAUAAAAAUGUGUACAUGAAUACUUUCCUUUGUGAAGAUGAGUAUAGCACAUAUUACAGACUUUCUGUGCUAAAAUGAACCAAAUGCAUACAUAUCAUUAUGUACAUAGGGGACAAGGGUAUGACUUGUGGUUUAACUUUGAGGAAAAGCAAACUGCCUUCUAAUAGGCUUUUAUUAUAUACUGACCAUGUUUACUUUGAUGAUUCAGCAAGAAAUUAUAAGCCCCUAAGACUUAGCUACUUUUCCAAAAUAAGCUACUCAAUCUUCCAAGGCCCAGGACACCAAUUACAUGUGUGCCAUACAUGACAAUAUGCGUGAUAAGUUUAACAGAUUUUCAAUAAAAACAUUGCUAAAACAUCGUUAUUAUGAACUUCAUUAUUAAAAUGCCAGGUACUUAAAAUGUAUCUAAGAAUCCUAAAGAUAAUUUUAUUAUUUUUGAGUUUAUUAUAAGUGUCUGCAUCUGAGUAAAAUAUUUCUUCAAGUUUAAAUAGUAGGGAUUUAUGAGGAUAAUAAGAUUUUUUUUAAAUCAAGAAACAAAUUAAGAGCAAUAUGUAAGAACAUGAAAACAGUUAAACAAUAACCAUUAAUAUGAACAGUACAAAUCUCAGUGUUGUUAUUUAGUGACAGUCCAAUAUCAAAAUAAAGAAUGCAAAGUAUACUUUUUACAUAUCAAGAGACAAAAAAAGGCCUAGCCAGACAGGAAAUUCUUAAAGCUCUAUCCAAUUACUUGGCAUGGACAUAGGAAAAAUCUAAAUCUGGAAACUUUGCCAUCAGAAUUUUUUUCUUUGUUUCUAUAAAAAACAUGUAUAUAUAAGAAACAGUACAUUUGUUUUUGUUGUAGUUGUUGCUAAUGGCUACAAUUUUUACAACGUGAGUGAUAGAAAGUAACCUAUUACAUAUCUAUUUUAACUGGAAAAUACUGAUUGGAUAUAUUACCUUUUAUUUUUUUCUUCUUGAGUUAGGAUUUUGUUAAUACUAUUGAGAUUUUGCAAAAGCUGCAUCAUAAAUGCAGCAUUCUGAGAAAGGAAAGCCCACGGUUCAGGUUAUAUGAUUUGUGGACAUCAUAAUUCAAAGGAUACAAAAUAAAUUACUGUUAGCACAAGAGAAACCUAGACUGAGAAUCAGGAGCCUGGGGGCCCAGUCCUGGGAUUUUGUAUGGGACACAUUCUACAUAAAAACAUUCUUUGGCCACAUCCUUUUCUUCUUCCACUCCCUGAGUUCUUUAUCCAACCGUCCCCUAACCCCACCACCUAUGCUAGCCAAGAAUUGUCCAGAAUCUGCUCUUGACUGGACUUCUUGAGAAGAAGCAGCUGUGUGAUAACGAGAAGAUUCUCUUGUAGAGGGUUGGUUAUUUCUGAUUUUAAUGUCAUUAAUAGCUAUGACCUGAAGCAAGUCACUUUAGCAGUUUUUUUUUUUUUU